GGACUGUUCUGCAUGUGAGUAGAAGAGCUCCUCUCUCUUCCUCACUGGGUGCAUCUGAAAACGACUGACCGCAGAACACUUGCGUUAUUACCCAACACCGUCAGCCUCGCCGUCUUGAUGGGACGAUGCAGAGCUCAGCCUAAAGGUCCUCAGCACCCAUGGGCCAUGGAAAGAAAGAUUAAAGUCAUCUCUGAGUUCUUCUCAGAAGCGAUUUUUAAAUUAAUGAAAAUGGCCAUGCAAAGAGGAUAAACAAUCCUUGGGAAAGAGAACACUGUUCUACAAUGCACUGUCACUUCCUUCUCCUGGAACAGCUCUUACCUAGCAAAGGGAAAACUCCCAGAACAUAAAGUCCCUUAUGUAAGUAAUAGUUUUAACAUUUUCGUGGCUGUGGUGUCAUGAUUAGCAUUGGAAAUAACAGAGCAGAAGUGAGAAGGAGCUUUAGCAAUGCAUUGAGUCUGUUUGGGUAAGAGGAAGAGA